rnacentral:rRNA from 1 species
CCCUAUUAUUUUUGGACGUUAAUAUUGUUUGUCUGAGUAGUAUUAGUUAUGUUCUUGAAACUUAAAGAAUUUGGCGGUAUCUUAUUCCAUCCAGAGGAAUCUGUCUCGUUAUCGAUAGUCCGCGUUGGACCUUACUUAGUUGUUAUUGGUUUGUAUACCGCCGUUUAUUGAUUAUCUUUUGUAGAGUUGUUUUUAAUUUUCUGGUUUCUUUAUUUUGAUUUAUUUCAGGUCAAGGUGCAGCUUGUUUCUAAGUGGAUGAUGGAUUACAUUGUUAUUUGUUUUGCUUGGACUGUUGGUUUUAAUAUUGACAUGAAAUUGGAUUUGGUUGUAAUGUUUUGUAGAUUGUUUUCGUGAUAAUUGGUUCUGGGAUAUGUACACAUCGCCCGUCGCUCUCGUUUGUUUUAAUGAGAUAGUC